rfam:Loxodonta africana unplaced genomic scaffold scaffold_5, whole genome shotgun sequence.
GGUGGGGGACGUGGGCGCGCGGUUGGGUUGAGAACCGAAGCGGUGGGGACAGGUCAG